UGGACGUGUUCUGUGAGGAUGGGUACAAAUUAGUUGGAAAUAAUUUCAUCUGGUGCCAGCUUAAAGGAAACGACGUUGAGUGGAGUCAACUUCCAACCUGUGAAUUAAUUAGCUGUUCUUCACC